rnacentral:rRNA from 1 species
GCAGCNACGCCGCGUGGGGGAUGACGGCCUUCGGGUUGUAAACCUCUUUCAGUGCCGACGAAGCGGAAGUGACGGUAGGCACAGAANAAGGACCGGCCAACUACGUGCCAGCAGCCGCGGUAAUACGUAGGGUCCGAGCGUUGUCCGGAAUUACUGGGCGUAAAGAGCUCGUAGGUGGUUUGUCGCGUUGUCCGUGAAAACUCACAGCUUAACUGUGGGCGUGCGGGCNAUACGGGCAGACUAGAGUACUGCAGGGGAGACUGGAAUUCCUGGUGUAGCGGUGGAAUGCGCAGAUAUCAGGAGGAACACCGGUGGCGAAGGCGGGUCUCUGGGCAGUAACUGACGCUCAGGAGCGAAAGCGUGGGGAGCGAACAGGAUUAGAUACCCUGGUAGUCCACGCCGUAAACGGUGGGUACUAGGUGUGGGUUCUUUCCUGAGGAUCCGUGCCGUAGCUAACGCAUUAAGUACCCCGCCUGGGGAGUACGGCCGCAAGGCUA